GAUGAACGCUGGCGGCGUGCCUAUUACAUGCAAGUCGAGCGAAUGGAUUAAGAGCUUGCUCUUAUGAAGUUAGCGGCGGACGGGUGAGUAACACGUGGGUAACCUGCCCAUAAGACUGGGAUAACUCCGGGAAACCGGGGCUAAUACCGGAUAACAUUUUGAACCGCAUGGUUCGAAAUUGAAAGGCGGCUUCGGCUGUCACUUAUGGAUGGACCCGCGUCGCAUUAGCUAGUUGGUGAGGUAACGGCUCACCAAGGCAACGAUGCGUAGCCGACCUGAGAGGGUGAUCGGCCACACUGGGACUGAGACACGGCCCAGACUCCUACGGGAGGCAGCAGUAGGGAAGCUUCCGCAAUGGACGAAAGUCUGACGGAGCAACGCCGCGUGAGUGACGAAGGCUUUCGGGUCGUAAAACUCUGUUGUUAGGGAAGAACAAGUGCUAGUUGAAUAAGCUGGCACCUUGACGGUACCUAACCAGAAAGCCACGGCUAACUACGUGCCAGCCGCCGCAGUAA
rnacentral:rRNA from 1 species